UUCAAGUCAUCAAGAUCCUGAAAAUCAUCAACGGGAAGAUCACCAUGUUGUGAAAAAAAUUGUGUAAAGGAAGGUCCAUGGACUCCUGAGGAAGACAUGAAACUCAUUCAAUACAUUCAAGAACAUGGUGCAUGCAAUUGGCGCAGUCUUCCAAGAAAUGCUGAUAAAACAAGGUCAAAAAUAAUAAUAAUAAUCAUCUUUUGUGUUGUUGAUGAUGAUUUAUCUUGUAAUGAUUUGAAAUGGAAAUUGAACUUUUUUAUGCAGGGCUUCAAAGAUGUGGAAAAAGUUGUCGUCUUCGUUGGACAAAUUAUCUAAGACCUGAUAUCAAGAGAGGAAGAUUUUCAUUUGAGGGAGAAGUGAUUUAUCCAGCUUCACAGUGUUCUUGGAAAUAAGUAAUUAAUAUGUAAUCUCUCCAUGUAUACAAGUUUUUCUUAUAUUGCUACUAAACCUGAAUUUGUUUCUUCUGAUGAUCAAGGUGGGCUGCAAUGGCGGCUCGGUUGCCUGGAAGAACAGAUAAUGAAAUCAAGAAUUACUGGAACACUCAUAUAAGAAAGAGACUUCUUCGAAAUUGGAUUGAUCCGGUUACUCAUGUUCCACGACUCAAUCUUUUAGAUCUCUCAUCACUUGUAAACUUGCCACAAAUUAAUCUUUCGAAUCUAAGAUUGGCAGCUAGUCUUCAGGGAAAUCCUGAAUUAUUACUGGUAAAACUUCAGGAAAGCCAAUUAUUAAAUUCUUAGUUGCAAAACCAGACACUUUGAAACUGAUCGAUUUCAAAAUAACUAUGAUCAACAAAUACCUAUUUGCAAUCCAUCCAACGAUCUUCCUACAACUACUUCAAUUUCAAGUCAAACUCCUUUCAUGCAAGGGAAUAUGAGACAGUUUUCUACGAAGUCAGAAAACUUUGAGUGGCCAAUCAUUUCUAGAUUUUGUGGAAACUUUCUGCUAUGGCCUAUGGGGCUUCUUGUUAAAUACAGAAAGAUUUAUCACGAAAAAAAAAAUCAGUCCUUGAACAGCGGCAGCUAUAACAGCCAUAAUUUCAGCUUUGAUUCAGUUUUGUCGACGCCUCUAUCUAGCCCAACUCCUCUAAAUUCAAGCUCAACGUAUAUCAAUGGCAACACAGAAGAUGAGAGAUCGGGAAAGUUAUUGCAGUAACCUGUUAAAGUUUGAAAUACCAGAGGGUUUAGAUUUUUCUGAUUUCUUGUAAACACUCACACAUUUCAUUCCACUUAUUUUUUUAGUAAUUGUGAUGGCGCAAUUUAUUGUUUGUAUAUUACAUAUUCCUAUAUUUUAUAAACUUUCUUCCCAUGUAGUUGUAAUAAACUUUCC
rnacentral:lncRNA from 1 species